rnacentral:rRNA from 1 species
GAAGCUGGAGUUGCUAGUAAUCGCGAAUCAGCAUGUCGCGGUGAAUACGUUCCCGGGCCUUGUACACACCGCCCGUCACACCAUGAGAGUUGGCAAUACCCAACGUACGUGAUCUAACCCGCAAGGGAGGAAGCGUCCUAAGGUAGGGUCAGCGAUUGGGUGAAGUCGUAACAAGGUAUC